rnacentral:rRNA from 1 species
CCUACGGGGGGCAGCAGUGAGGAAUAUUGGUCAAUGGGCGGGAGCCUGAACCAGCCAAGUCGCGUGAGGGAAGACGGUCCUAUGGAUUGUAAACCUCUUUAGGCGGGGAGCAAUGCCGGGCACGCGUGCCCGGAGGGAGAGUACCCGCAGAAUAAGCAUCGGCUAACUCCGUGCCAGCAGCCGCGGUAAUACGGAGGAUGCGAGCGUUAUCCGGAUUUAUUGGGGUAAAGGGGUGCGUAGGCGGAUUGUUAAGUCAGCGGUAAAACGUUCGGGCUCAACCCGGGCCGGCCGUUGAAACUGGGGAGCUUGAGUGGGCGAGAAGUAUGCGGAAUGCGUGGUGUAGCGGUGAAAUGCAUAGAUAUCACGCAGAACUCCGAUUGCGAAGGCAGCAUACCGGCGCCCGACUGACGCUGAGGCACGAAAGCGUGGGGAUCGAACAGGAUUAGAUACCCUAGUAGUC